AUUUGUACAAUACUAAAUCAACAUGUGCAAACUCUCAGCAAAUAAUUUUUACAUGAAAGAUAGUCUUGUAGCAACAACAAUGAAAAGUCAGAACCUAGUCCGCGGCAAACACUAGGAUAUCGGCAGCAGAAAUCCAAAGCUGAAUUGUGCAAACUAUAUCAAAAAGACGCACAGCAAAAUGCAAGCCACAAAUACGAUGCAGUGAAGCACUAAGUUGUAGAGACAUAAAUCAAAAUUAAUCAACAAGGCACUAACACACUGACGGUCCAAGCAUAGACUGAAGCAACUCCACGAUACACUGGACUACAAAAGUCGACUUCACAAGUCACGUCAUGCAAGACGAAACAACCAACAUGCUAUACGGUGAGUCAAGUUCAGAUUCGCUUCUGUAGACACCGAACAAAAUGAUCACCUAUGUCCUCAUUUUCAACUUCAUCGUCUUCACCAACAACGCCUACAAGCAAAAUAAGUUCAAUAAAUCAAUGGUAGACUAGGUUCAUCGAAAAAAGAUCUGGUAGAGUAAACACAGUAAGUUUAGGGCCUCUUUGAUUCACGGGAUUUGAAAAUGUAGGAAUAUGAAAAGUAUAGGAUUGGAGUGGCAUGCCAACUUGAAUCCUAUAGGAUUAGCAAGGAGUGUUUGAUGCCACAUGGAAAAGGACUACGAACAGCUUGCCUUCUCCUACACGAAAUCCUGCAGGCAGAGAACACUUCAGUUUUGCAGAGAAUAGUAAAGAGUUUCACUUGCUAGAGCAUCAUUUCACUUUCAAACAAGCAGUUUCAGAACACUUCAGACGAGGAAAAAAAAUCAGCGGAUCGCUGGAUUUCAUCGAGGAAGAUAGAAAAGGUUACAAAAUAAAACUGCUGCAAGGAAAUAAAAAGAAAGUCAGUUGGUGCUUACAACCUUCACCCAAGCCCAAGAGCAGGCUACUGCAUGAUAUACCAGGUGCAGAACUAUUGCAAGUGCACUAAAUCAAUCAUAAGUAGUAGUAUGUGAUGUGCAGGAAGGCAUGGUCGAUUAAGAGCAGGUGCAAAGGAAAUGAUAAAAUCAGAACUGUGGCAUCCUUUGCUCUAUCGGGCUGUACAAAUGUCUAAAAUUUCUCUCAUAACUCUGUCAUGUAUACAAAGAUAGAAGAAAAGGUCAAAACUAAAUACUUAAUCAUGCUUAGUUGCAGAAAACUAAAUAGUUGCAGAAAAUAAUACUUGAUAACAGAAAUGAUAAAUCAGAACUGUGGCAUCCUUUGCUCUAUCGGGUUGUACAAAUGUCUAAAACUUCUCUCAUAACUCUGUCAUGUAUACAAAGAUAGAAGAAAAGGUCAAAACUAAAUACUUAAUCAUGCUUAGUUGCAGAAAACUAAAUAGUUGCAGAAAAUAAUACUUGAUAACAGAAAUGAUAAAUCAGAACUGUGGCAUCCUUUGCUCUAUCGGGUUGUACAAAUGUCUAAAAUUUCUUUCAUAACUUUGUCAUGUAUACAAAGAUAGAAGAAAAGGUCAAAACUAAAUACUUAAUCAUGCUUAGUUGCAGAAAAUAAUACUUGAUAACAGGACCAUAAGCACAAUUGUUUCCAAGUAAAUAAAGUAAAUGUAUGAAAGACUCAUCAUAAGCCUAGAUAGGUGACAUGGUGAUCUGGUCUGCUUUUCUGUUCGGCAUGGCGUACUAUUACUUUUCUGUUCUACUGACUUUUUCUAUACAUUAAUGCUAAUUAAAUAUGUACACACAGAAGAGAAGAGAGGCCAAAAAAGAAGGGAGGGAAAAAACCAUCCAAUAUGUACUGGUGUUGGGUUACACUGAAAUCGUCAUAUUUCCAAUUGAACACGAGUUUUUCUGUAUUUUUAGAUUUCUCGGAUUAAGCCCUUCAGAAUUCUCAAGGGUUUUUGAUUAAGUAGCUGAAAUAAUGCUACACAGAGAGAUUCAACCAUAAUUCCAACUGAACACGAGUUUUCCAGAUAGUAUUAUUUCUGAAGGACUUAAUAUGAAGGGCGAGUCAAACAAGCUCUGUACAUGAAGCCGAAAGCUAACCUUUGGUCCCGCUUUUCCGUGUCUUACAACAGACGAGCAUAUAUGUAUCUACACACCCACCACCCAUCUGAAUUUCUAGGACCCUAGCACUCUUUAACUAAAUCAUCAUUCAUAAUAAUAUCUGAUCUCAUCUCAGUAUCUUUUUUUUUGUCUAAUAUUCGAUAUUUUGAAGACGAGAUGACACAACUAGGAUGCAUUUACUGAACUUCAUAUGCAAGUAAGAUAGCGGUAGCGAUCAAUUUGAACAACAACUGCUCCAAUCUGUGAGAAAUCCAAAUAAUAUUGCCACACUGGUCACAUUCUUUUUGUUACUGUAACAAUCACAAGAGGAACCACCAAGAUCAUAUCGACAUCAUACUGACUGCAGAGCCGGACCGAGCGUCUCCAACUUGUAUCCCGCAGGCGCUGAAUUUGAACACCCAAAACUGUUACCCUGGAUCUAGGAGGGAGGGAAGGAAGAGAUGAGGGAAGCGGCCGAAGUACCUUGGUCCGUUCGUCGACCACUACGACCAAGCCCAAUCUGUGAUUCACCUCCAAGACCUUGCGCCGGCGUCGUCACCUCCAGGAUCUUGCACCAGCGUCGGCGGUGCAGUGGGGGAGCGGCCACUACAACGAAAC
rnacentral:lncRNA from 1 species